GUCCUGAAGUCAAUGACACAGUAUUUUCAUGGUUAUUUCAACGGCGCAUUAGACGUGCCCACAUAGGAAUAUCAUCGCUGUUGCGGACUUGCCCCGCAUGCAUACUGCCGUACGGGCAGGCUACAAUUUACAGGGGAAUUUCAGGACAGAGCCUUUACUUGCAUUUCAGUGAAUGAGAGGACUUUGAUGAAAUUGUGGCACUCGUCCUUCAGGGAACACAAGCCAGAAGAGGAAGACAGGAGAAAAAGACAACAUGUCCACGUCUCCUUGUCUGGACUUCCAUGUCAUUUUCUGGGUGGGACGAAAAAGUAGAUGGACGUUGGAGAAGCGAAUGAGAGCAAGAGAAGAGGACAAAUAAGUGUGUGGACGUGGCUGGAUGUUGCAUGGCGCUGUGAGGGGAGCAAGAGUAGGCAACCGUGUAAUCCCCAUCAUUAGUGGGUUUUAACAGGAUUUGGCGCAACUAUAAUAAUGGAGACUCCAGUGGCCUCCACUGCGAGGCCCAAAAAGACGCGACAGGGAAGAACAGCAGCCACAAUGGCACGACUGUUCCACAGGACUCAACUUAUGGAAGAUUCAAAGAGUGGUGUAAACAGAGUGCAGUUGGUGUUACCAUGGUAAAGGGCGACUGAGGACUAGGAAUGGCGACUAUGCCCUGCAUGUGGAGAGAUCCAGGGCAUGCACACUAGCACGGUAUAGAGUUGCACACUCACACACACACACAUGCAUGCGAGCGCACACGCGCGCACACACACACAUACACGUGCACAAUUAUGUAUGGACAGUCUGUCUAGUUCUCCUCAUCGACCAAGGGUGAUUUUGCAACAUUUUAGCCACCAUUUAAUUAAUAAUAUGUGUUUUUGGUAUGGUAUGUGUAUUUCCUGAUAUUAUUGAAACAUUGCAAAAAAAAGAAAAUACACUCUAAGAUUGGUUGGGCAAAUGAAUCAGGCCGAUAUUUGCCGUUGGUCGACCUCUAAUUUCAAACAUUAACAUUCUGACUUACAGCCCAACUUCACUCAUACACAUUUUCUCUAAAUAAAGCAGUUUUUAUUGUGGAAAAACUGUUUUCUUCUUGAAA